rnacentral:rRNA from 1 species
ACGAGGACCUACCGGAGGGCAAGACUAAUGCCAGCCGCUGCGGUAAUUUUAGCUCCGGUAGCGUAUACUAAAAUUGCUGCAGUUAAAAAGCUCGUAGUCGGACCUCUGCUCCGGACGCCGGGGGCCGCCCGCGCGGUCUCCCGCGCGCUUCCGGGCAUUCUGCCCGCCACCUCGCGGGGUGAUUUUCAAAGGUCGUCCCCGGGUGGAAGGCGGUGGUCGCUUUGCCAAAAUUAGAGUGCUCAGAGCAGGCACCGAAGCCCGAAUAGUAAUGCACGGAACGACGGAAGACGCCCUCGGUUCCGGGUUUCCCGCACCUCCUGGUCGACGGAACCCGAGGGAAUGAUCGAUAGGAGCUGACGGGGGCAUUCGUAUUCCGACGCUAGAGGUGAAAUUCUUGGACCGUCGGAAGACGACCCACUGCGAAGGCAUUUGCCAAGAAUGCUUCCAUUGACCAAGAACGAAAGUGAGAGGCUCAAAGAAGAUUAGAUACCUUUGUAGUUCUGACCGUAAACUCUACCAGCCAGCGAUCCGGCUGCGUACGA